rnacentral:lncRNA from 1 species
GCCCGUCAAUAUAAAAAUAUUAUUGAAGGAACAUUUCAUAACUCAUGCAUACAACAUUAUAUAAUCUCGUCUCUAGGACAUAUUUCUAAUUGGUAGGAUAUUUGCACCCUCCAAUGUGAGGCAUGACUCAGCAUGACGCUUUGCUAGUAUAUAUAAUGUAGAAUCUUGGGAAAAAUAUAACAUAGUAAAAAAAUGAUAAUGAGUAAAUAUUGUAAGCAUAUCAUGCUAAAUCCUGUAAUGGCUCUCUAAAGUUCCUUGUUCUUUGAAAUGUAGUCAAAACCCGUCUCAUCUUUAGUUGAUUGACUUGCUUCGGUUUCCUUCUCUUCGUAGCUAGAAUCGACACCACCUUUAGUUGACUUAUUUGUUUUCGGCUUCCUUCAUUUGCCAACACCACCACCAACACCAAUACCUUUAUGUGCACCGACACCAAGACCGGCAUUGGCACCUACAUUUGCUCCAAUGCCAACUCCAACGUUAGCGCCUCCAUUCGCACCAACACCAGCACCACCGUUUGCACCGCCACCAAGACCAGCAUUGGCACCUACAUUUGCUCCAAUACCUACAUUUGCUCCAAGACCAGCACCAGCACCAAUACCUUUAUGUGCACCGACACCAAGACCGGCAUUGGCACCUACAUUUGCUCCAAUGCCAGCUCCAAUGUUANNN